rnacentral:snRNA from 1 species
AAAACUUUUUCAAAAGAAAAAAUCUGUUCUCAUUAGUUUAAUAUCUGAUACUUCCCCUAUCUGGGGACCAUAUAUUAAAUAGAUUUUUGGAACAGGGAGAUGGAAUAGGGGCUUGCUCCGUCCACUCCACGCAUCGACCUGGUAUUGCAGUACCUCCAGGAAUGGUGCACCCCCU